rnacentral:rRNA from 1 species
UAGGGAAUAUUGGACAAUGGGGGCAACCCUGAUCCAGCCAUGCCGCGUGAGUGAAGAAGGCCCUCGGGUUGUAAAGCUCUUUUGUCCGGAAAGAAAAGCUUCGGGUUAAUACCCCGGGGUUCUGACGGUACCGGGACAGUAAGGGUCGGCUAACUACGUGCCAGCAGCCGCGGUAAUACGUAGGACCCAAGCGUUGUCCGGAUUUACUGGGUGUAAAGGGUGCGCAGGCGGAUGGGUAAGUCAGGGGUGAGAGUCUGCAGCUUAACUGUAGAAUUGCCUUUGAUUCUGCUCAUCUUGAGUGUGGGAGAGNUUGAUGGAAUUCCAGGUGUAGCAGUGAAAUGCGUAGAUAUCUGGAAGAACACCAGUGGCGAAGGCGGUCAACUGGCCCAUAACUGACGCUCAUGCACGAAAGCGUGGGGAGCAAACA